rnacentral:sRNA from 1 species
UUUUUUCUUUCUUCUUCAAUCU